GCCUUCCUAGCUCAGUGGUAGAGCGCGUCACUAGUAACGCUAGACUCGGUUCGAGUCGAGCUAGUCCCGAAAGGGACGUCACGUGAUGACGAGGUCGUCAGUUCAAUUCUGGCGGAAGGCA